rnacentral:lncRNA from 1 species
UUAUAUUUGAAAAUUCUGUUGCAGUAAGCUGAAUUUUCUGCCUGGAAAAAGGGAAGAAAUCCAAAUGUAAUGAAGUAGCUCAUUGUCAUAAAAUAGAUUGCUGUUGAGUAAAUACUACCUUUGGUAUUUUUUCUAGAGGACCUCUGCAGUGUGCUGAUGAAGAUGAUCAAGUACUUCCAAGUGGGAUGGAGGCUGAUAGUGAUAGAAAUGGGCUGGCUCAUUCUGUGUCAGAGACCUGUGAGAAAUCAGACAAUGCCAUUUCCUUAAUCAAAAUAGUUCCAACCAAAGGGCAAACAUCUGAUUUUCAUCUGGACAACAUAAGGUCAGAGCUAGAAAAUGUUUCUUCAAGUGGAAAGGAUGGAUUUGGUGAUGUGUUACCAAAAAGUGUGUCCACCAGGCGUCGCUAUUCAAAGAUGAGAAAUCACGAAGACCUUUGCACUGGUGUCUUGGACCAUUCAGAAGCACCUGAUCCAACAAAAGAGCUUUCUAAACAGGAUGAAAUUAGACUUGAAGAAAGUCUAGAAAAGCAUACUGUAGAAAACAUAAAUUCAGCUAUUUCUCAGUUGAGCGAAAACAAGGUAGGCUCAGAGCUGGUGUUGAGGCAGAUAGAUUCUGAAACUGCGCAGUUCAACUUAAACAAUAAUUCUGGUCUUAAACAAUGUGUGCAUAAAAGCAGAGAAGACUCUCAAGUAAGGAAAGAGAAGCAUCAGAAGGGAAAACCGGAAUGGCCUAAAAAUACUUCCAGACAAAGACCAAAAAAAAGACAGACUGAAGUGCCUUCCAAAGAAAAGUCUGAUUUCGUGGGUGGCUCCAGUGAUGCUUAUGACUUUCACUUUGAAGAGUGUGUCCAUGUUACACCUUUUCGACAAAAUAAGGUGAAUGACACAGAUAUUGGUGUGGAUGACAAAGAAGACUUAUCCAAAACUAAUACCAUCGAAUCGAGUGAUAUUGAAGAAGAUUCAGAUGAUAGCCUCUAUGAACCUUACAAGAGUAAAUCGAAAAAAAGGAGAAGUUCAGUGGAGAAGAAAGAUACAUCGCCAGUCCAUGCAAGGCCAAGGUCUAAAAGAUGUUUGGCACAGCGUGAGCAGAGACUCCAUAAUGAAAAAGAGACUGAAAGCAAUAAGUCAAGGGACAAGUCUAUU